rnacentral:rRNA from 1 species
GAUGAACGCUGGCGGCGUGCCUAAUACAUGCAAGUCGAGCGAACAGACGAGGAGCUUGCUCCUCUGACGUUAGCGGCGGACGGGUGAGUAACACGUGGAUAACCUACCUAUAAGACUGGGAUAACUUCGGGAAACCGGAGCUAAUACCGGAUAAUAUAUUGAACCGCAUGGUUCAAUAGUGAAAGACGGUUUUGCUGUCACUUAUAGAUGGAUCCGCGCCGCAUUAGCUAGUUGGUAAGGUAACGGCUUACCAAGGCAACGAUGCGUAGCCGACCUGAGAGGGUGAUCGGCCAGACUGGAACUGAGACACGGUCCAGACUCCUACGGGAGGAAGCAGUAGGGAAUCUUCCGCAAUGGGCGAAAGCCUGACGGAGCAACGCCGCGUGAGUGAUGAAGGUCUUCGGAUCGUAAAACUCUGUUAUUAGGGAAGAACAAAUGUGUAAGUAACUAUGCACGUCUUGACGGUACCGAAUCAGAAAGCCACGGCUAACUACGUG